rnacentral:rRNA from 1 species
UGGGGAAUUUUGGACAAUGGGCGAAAGCCUGAUCCAGCAAUGCCGCGUGUGUGAAGAAGGCCUUCGGGUUGUAAAGCACUUUUGUCCGGAAAGAAAUCCUUGGCUCUAAUACAGUCGGGGGAUGACGGUACCGGAAGAAUAAGCACCGGCUAACUACGUGCCAGCAGCCGCGGUAAUACGUAGGGUGCAAGCGUUAAUCGGAAUUACUGGGCGUAAAGCGUGCGCAGGCGGUUUGCUAAGACCGAUGUGAAAUCCCCGGGCUCAACCUGGGAACUGCAUUGGUGACUGGCAGGCUAGAGUAUGGCAGAGGGGGGUAGAAUUCCACGUGUAGCAGUGAAAUGCGUAGAGAUGUGGAGGAAUACCGAUGGCGAAGGCAGCCCCCUGGGCCAAAUACUGACGCUCAUGCACGAAAGCGCGGGGAGCAAACAGGAUUAGAUACCCUGGUAGUCCACGCCCUAAAACGAUGUCAACUAGUUGUUGGGGAUUCAUUUCCUUAGUAACGUAGCUAACGCGUGAAGUUGACCGCCUGGGGAGUACGGUCGCAAGAUUAAAACUCAAAUGAAUUGACGGGGUCAUAGCUGUUUCCU